UACGUAGGUGACCAGCGUUGUCCGGAUUUACUGGGCGUAAAGAGCGCGCAGGCGGUCGUUCAAGUCGAGUGUGAAAGCCCCCGGCUCAACUGGGGAGGGUCACUCGAUACUGAUCGACUUGAAGGCAGGAGAGGGAAGCGGAAUUCCCGGUGUAGUGGUGAAAUGCGUAGAGAUUAGGAAGAACACCAGUGGCGAAGGCGACUUACUGGACUGUAACUGACGCUGAGGCAUGAAAGCGUGGGGAGCAAACAGG
rnacentral:rRNA from 1 species